AAUCGGUUGAUGCCGAUUGACAUUUGCUCCAUUUCAGUUGAAAAACUACCCUGAUUGCAUUUGAAUCUCACUGCCAGCAUCUUAGAACCAUUCAUUCAACCCAUCCAUUCAGGCUCAGAAGGCCUGCCGUGUCUCGUGUCCUGUGUCAGAGGACUUGAACAGGAAAAUGCUAGGCCGGGGAAGCUGGUAUUGAAAGUGAGUCGAGCUGGCUUGGGGGGGUGGGGGAAGGAUGAGAUGGUGAAUCCGGCCCGGAAUAAGUUACCCGGUCAGAGGGGCGGUGGUGAGCACUUGCCGUGUGCGGAUUGAUCUAGAGCUGGAAGGUUCUAGAAUUCAGGGGCAAGUUAAUUAAGGGGCUGAGGAGACAGGAUGAAUUAGAGAGAGGCAGCAGGAGAAGACCCCAACCUAUGGAGAGAGAAGAAGAGGCAUGAAGGUUCACGCCGGGGUGAGACGUUCCGUGGACAAGAAGUGGCUUGGGAGGACGGGCGUUCCCGGCCCUGGGAGCAGAGAAGGGAGUCUGGGACGUGGUGGCCCACACACCAGCCAGUGGUCGGCGAGCUGAUGGAAAGAGCUCUGGGGCAGCCGCACGCACGGGUGCGCUCGGGGCAGGGUAGCCUCGCAGCUCCUUUGGAGGGCUUGUCUCUGCCGGUGGCUCCUGCUCCUCCUGCCUUCCCUACCCCUCCACCUGGGCCCAUGACGGAGUCCCGGUUCAGCCUCUUCCUCGGGCAUGGAGGUGGCCCAGCGCCACGUGGCCUGCCUCUCCCCACCCUGCACAACCUCAAAGCCAAAUGAUGGAAGCCCCUCCCUGCCAGGGGCUAUCCCCGCCUGCUCCCUCAUCUCCCGCAAGCUGACUCUCCAGAAUUUGGCCCAGCCCUCAGCGGCUGUGUCCUCUGGGGCACAAAGAGUGGAGGGCAGCUUGGGCCUCUCCAGCGCAUCCUCCACAUGGCUUCAGAAAAGCAACAAGGAACCAGCCCUCCAAAGGGGUGCCUCUGUCCCAGCCCCAGGACUCAUUCUGUAGUGCGGCUAAAGAGUGAGGUGGUUUUUUUGUUUGGGUUUGGCUUUCUUGAUUUUUUUCGGUAUCUAGAUACCAACAGCUUCCCACCCCGCCCCUCACUUCAUCACUCUGCCCCCGAGUCUGCCUGGGGCCCUUCUCCUCCAGGAAGAUUUCCUGGUCCAUCCCAGCUUAUCUCUAUCCUCCAGUCCGCUGACUGCAGAGGCUUUUAUUGUCUGCCUCUCUUAUUUUGCUUGGUGCUUCAUUAUGCUCCAUUAAUGUUUCAGCUGUUUUAA
rnacentral:lncRNA from 1 species